CAACUGCGAUAAAUAAUGUGAACUGCAGAUAUUUUGAACAUUGAGAAUUCGAAUGCACAUUGCGCCAUUGGAAUUAUAUCCUUUGGCACAUCUGGCUCAGGGUCGUUAAUAAAAAACGAAUGCUUCUUUCGUUCUCCUCUAACGCUAGCUGGAUCAUGAUGGCGGGGGUUGUCCCAACUGUGUUAGGUUGGCAGCACCAUGUCGCCGUGUUCUCGCUUAUUUGUUGUUUACCCACUGUGCGUGGCGGUUGAAUUGGUGGAAGUGAAUCAGCGAUACUCUCGAUUCCACUCCCCUUUUCAUUGCGCACUCUAGGUGGUACUCGACUUAUCGACCUGAGCUCAGUUGUGAGUACCUGCUGAACUUAA
rnacentral:misc_RNA from 1 species